rnacentral:tRNA from 1 species
GCGGGAAUAGCUCAGUUGGUAGAGCGCAACCUUGCCAAGGUUGAGGUCGCGAGUUCGAGUCUCGUUUUCCGCUCCA